CCUACGGGGGGCAACAGUGGGGAAUAUUGGACAAUGGGGGGAACCCUGAUCCAGCCAUGCCGCGUGUGUGAAGAAGGCCCUCGGGUUGUAAAGCACUUUCAGUGAGGAAGAACGCCUGGUGGUUAAUACCCAUCAGGAAAGACAUCACUCACAGAAGAAGCACCGGCUAACUCCGUGCCAGCAGCCGCGGUAAUACGGAGGGUGCAAGCGUUAAUCGGAAUUACUGGGCGUAAAGCGCGCGUAGGUGGCUUGAUAAGCCGGUUGUGAAAGCCCCGGGCUCAACCUGGGAACGGCAUCCGGAACUGUCAAGCUAGAGUGCAGGAGAGGAAGGUAGAAUUCCCGGUGUAGCGGUGAAAUGCGUAGAGAUCGGGAGGAAUACCAGUGGCGAAGGCGGCCUUCUGGACUGACACUGACACUGAGGUGCGAAAGCGUGGGUAGCAAACAGGAUUAGAUACCCCAGUAGUC
rnacentral:rRNA from 1 species